rnacentral:rRNA from 1 species
GAGAGUUACAGUAUGUGAAAUUGUUAAAAGGGAAACAUUUGAAGUUAGACUUGUUAUUGUUGGUUCAACUUUCUCUUUUGAAGGUGUAUUCCAAUGGUUUUAACAGACCAGCAUCAAUUUUUGAGUGUUAGAUAAGGGUCUUGAGAAUGUAGCAACUUUGGUUGUGUUUUUAUAGCUCAUGACUUUUGAUAUAAUGCUUAGGAUUGAGGUAUGCAGUGAGCUUUUUAUUAAGUGGAUAUAUAUAUAUAUAUCUUCUCACAACGGAUGUKGGKGUGAAUAUMUUAAAUGUSCCCNNNNNNUAACAUGCUUGCGAGUAUUUGGGUGUUGAAACCCUUAUGCAUAAUGAAAGUGAAUGUAAAUGAGAUCCGUAACAGGUGCAUCAUUGACCAGUCCUGAUUAUUUAUAUGAAGGUACUGAGUAAGAGCAAGUAUGUUGGGACCCGAAAGAUGGUGAACUAUGCCUGAAUAGGGUGAAGCCAGAGGAAACUCUGGUGGAAGCUCGUAGCGGUUCUGACGUGCAAAUCKAUCGUCAA